GACGAAGGAUGCAAGCGUUAUCCGGAUUCAUUGGGUUUAAAGGGAGCGUAGGUGGCCUUAUAAGUCAGUGGUGAAAUCUCUGGGCUUAACCCAGAAAUUGCCAUUGAUACUGUAGGGCUUGAGUACAGUUGCUGUGGGCGGAAUAUGACAUGUAGUGGUGAAAUACAUAGAGAUGUCAUAGAACACCGAUUGCGAAGGCAGCUCACAAAACUGUAACUGACACUGAGGCUCGAAAGCGUGGGGAGCGAACAGG
rnacentral:rRNA from 1 species